GAUAAAGAGAUUAAUUUCUUACAAUUUAAUCCUUCCAUUUCUCUCCUCUCUAAUUCCCUUCCUUCCUUACUUAUUAUCCAAAUGAAAAAUAAAUCAUCCCUGCAUUUCUCCUCCCUCCUUUUCCCUCCAUUUCCUUCAAUCCAGUCAAUACCUGGAUCAAUUUCUGGUUAACAUUUUGGUGAAUCUAUUCAUUCUUUCCUAAACGGAAAAAAAGAUGAAAGAAAUUGAGGUUUGUACUCAAGAAGAAGACGCGCAGCAUAUACCCAGAAUCAAGAAGACUCUUUCGUUUGGGACCAAAAUUCCCAGCUUUACUAUCAUGCCAGAAGUGGGUUUUAUCAUGACCCUAAUGAAGGGUGGUAU